GAUGAACGCUAGCGGCAGGCCUAACACAUGCAAGUCGAGGGAGAAGCCCUUUCGGGGGCAGAAACCGGCGCACGGGUGCGUAACGCGUAUGCAACCUACCUUUCACAGUGGGAUAGCCCGAAGAAAUUUGGAUUAAUACCCCAUAAUAUUAUUGGAUGGCAUCAUUUGAUAAUUAAAACUGCGGUGGUGAAAGAUGGGCAUGCGUCCUAUUAGCUAGUUGGAGUGGUAACGGCACCCCAAGGCUACGAUAGGUAGGGGUCCUGAGAGGGAGAUCCCCCACACUGGUACUGAGACAGGGACCAGACUCCUACGGGAGGCAGCAGUGAGGAAUACUGGUCAAUGGUCGGAAGACUGAACCAGCCAUGCCGCGUGCAGGAAGAAUGCCUUAUGGGUUGUAAACUGCUUUUAUAUGGGAAGAAUAAGGCGUACGUGUACGUUGAUGACGGUACCAUAUGAAUAAGCAUCGGCUAACUCCGUG
rnacentral:rRNA from 1 species